UGUGAACAUAGGCGCCGCUACACUGUUGAUAGCGGUCUAAAAAGGCAAAUAGAACAAUAAAAGACGAAAAAGGCACAUGUGAAAGUGUGGUAUUAUCAUCUUUUGGUUUCGAUUAGUCAAAGAUCGAAAAUACAUUGUUAUAAAAACGAUCGGCAUAACGGCUAAACGUAUGCAGAGAAAAUUCUUGCUGGAGAGCCUCUUCAAUUUUCAAAUGACCCCUCUGCGGCUGAAAAAUACAGAAAACAGGUGGCGUUGACACUCCUAAACGAGACAGAUGACCUCAGUGAGCUUUGCCACUAUUGUGGGGAGAAGGAUGCAGGGCAAGGAAGGACAACUGCCAAAAAAAAAGAAAAUGCUUGGGUCCAGUGUGACGUGUGUGACCGAUGGUUCCACAUACAGUGCGCUAAAAUGGUGGACCCCAGGAAGUACUUCAGCUGUGCUGCAUGCCAGUUUGUGCCUCCAGAUUAAAAUUCUACUGCAUUUUCUUUUGCAAACAUGCAAAAAAGUAAUAAAGUAAUGUGCAAGACUUGCGCUUAA